UGUGGCUCUUGCUCGUUCAGCAAUGCUCCAAGGUCGACCCGCUGACGCGAUUUCUCUUUGUGAAUCAGGCUUGA
rnacentral:ribozyme from 1 species